UGGGGAAUAUUGGACAAUGGGCGCAAGCCUGAUCCAGCCAUGCCGCGUGAGUGAUGAAGGCCCUAGGGUUGUAAAGCUCUUUCACCGGUGAAGAUAAUGACGGUAACCGGAGAAGAAGCCCCGGCUAACUUCGUGCCAGCAGCCGCGGUAAUACGAAGGGGGCUAGCGUUGUUCGGAUUUACUGGGCGUAAAGCGCACGUAGGCGGUCUAUUAAGUCAGGUGUGAAAGCGUGAGGCUUAACCUCAUUAAGCACUUGAAACUGAUAGACUUGAGUGAAGGAGAGGAAAGUGGAAUUCCUAGUGUAGCGGUGAAAUGCGUAGAUAUUAGGAGGAAUACCGGUGGCGAAGGCGACUUUCUGGACUUUUACUGACGCUCAGGUACGAAAGCGUGGGGAGCAAACAGG
rnacentral:rRNA from 1 species